rnacentral:rRNA from 1 species
UAGCCAGACUCCUACGGGAGGCAGCAGUGAGGAAUAUUGGUCAAUGGCCGUAAGGCUGAACCAGCCAAGUCGCGUGAAGGAAGAAGGAUCUAUGGUUUGUAAACUUCUUUUAUAGGGGAAUAAAGGUAUCCACGUGUGGAUAUUUGCAUGUACCCUAUGAAUAAGCAUCGGCUAACUCCGUGCCAGCAGCCGCGGUAAUACGGAGGAUGCGAGCGUUAUCCGGAUUUAUUGGGUUUAAAGGGUGCGUAGGUUGUUUUUUAAGUCAGCGGUGAAAGUUUGUGGCUCAACCAUAAAAUUGCCGUUGAAACUGGAAGACUUGAGUGUGUUUGAGGUAGGCGGAAUGCGUGGUGUAGCGGUGAAAUGCUUAGAUAUCACGAAGAACUCCGAUUGCGAAGGCAGCCUACUAAACUGCCACUGACAUUGAUGCUCGAAAGUGUGGGUAUCAAACAGGAUUAGAUACCCCGGUAU